GAAUAAAUAAAAGUAGACGAGAGAAGGACGGAAGAAAAAAAAAAAACAUUAUGUAUGAAAAAGUGGUUUCUCGUUUUGUGUAUUUUUGGUUUGGUUUGGUUUGGUUGAUCUGCUGUUU
rnacentral:ribozyme from 1 species